rnacentral:rRNA from 1 species
UACGUAGGGGGCAAGCGUUGUCCGGAUUUAUUGGGCGUAAAGAGCGUGUAGGCGGCCAGGUAGGUCCGCUGUGAAAACUCGAGGCUCAACCUCGAGAUGUCGGCGGAAACCAUCUGGCUAGAGUCCGGAAGAGGAGAGUGGAAUUCCUGGUGUAGCGGUGAAAUGCGCAGAUAUCAGGAAGAACACCCGUGGCGAAGGCGGCUCUCUGGGACGGUACUGACGCUGAGACGCGAAAGCGUGGGGAGCGAACAUG